GACCGCAAAGUGGGCUGGGAUCUGUGAGCCCAGAAAAGCAACGUUCCACCAAAGUCAAGGGAGGCUGGAAUGUCAAAUUGGAGGUGUCUAGGAGUGUCAAAUAUUGCAGAAGGUGUUAAAAAGGACCGAAAAGUGUCUGCUGAGAUUUGCUAUCCAGAAGCACAGCUCAAAAUGGCCUCUGCAGAAUAAAUGGAAUGAGCUAGGUGUGGAACUCCAGGCACAGCGGUCAAUUAAGGGCUGUUCAUUAACAUUUCAAGCACUGCAGAUAGGGCAUCAGGUGCAGCAUAUCCACAGAAUUAAAAUGAAAUUUUCUUCUUAUCAUUAUUAUUAUUCAAGAUUUUUUGAAGAAACACGGUGAUGACCCCAGCCCUGAGGAUCUCACUAAUAUUUUAUUGUUCUUACAUGUCACCAGGAGACUCACGCAAGCAAUCUCACAAAAAGCAAUUCAUAACAAUGGAAACUGCCCCCAGUCACUGAGAAAGGAUCUCUUGGGUUUUAAAAGAUCUUUUCAAUCUUUGAAGUAUUCCCUUGGCCUGGCUAGUUUGGUGUCCCUUGAAGGACUUUUUAUAAAACAUGAGACUUCCUCCACAUUAGGCAUUUGAAAUCCAAUCUUUUUUUUUAAAGUUGCAAAAUACAUAUUUUUUGCAGACCAUCUGUUAUUUAGUAAUGUGCAAAUUACCAAUAAAUAAUUCCAGAUUCUUUUUUUGCAAGCAUAGCUAUAAACAAACUGAUCCACAUGCAGAAAUGGAAGUCAUUUUCUCUUUGAAAAUUCAUUAACUUCUGCACGAUUGGAAGAGCUCGGGAGAGAAGCUUCCCGGCAGAUGUCCAUGAGUGUUAUUACUGUACACAAACAAUAACAUGAGGCCAAACACUGACAUUCUUUGCAAAUCUUCCUCUUGUUUAGCAUUCACUUCAGUGGUCUCAUCAUACGGGGUUUAUACGUGUGACUAUAAAACCCUUUAAGAUGGAUUUAUGUGUAAUAAUCUCAUUUGUUCUUUUAUCUGGCUAAACCAUUGGAAAACUAUGAUUCUUCUCCCAUGAAACAAUAGAGAAUCACAAAUAAAAAUUGCAUUUAA
rnacentral:lncRNA from 1 species